UGUGUGCCGUGGCAGUCUCGAGAGUAGUUUGACUCCGUGGCUACGAGGACGACGCUGGCGGCGUGCUUAACACAUGCAAGUCGAACGGAAGGCCCUGCUUUUGUGGGGUGCUCGAGUGGCGAACGGGUGAGUAACACGUGAGUAACCUGCCCUUGACUUUGGGAUAACUUCAGGAAACUGGGGCUAAUACCGGAUAGGAGCUCCUGCUGCAUGGUGGGGUUGGAAAGUUUCGGCGGUUGGGGAUGGACUCGCGGCUUAUCAGCUUGUUGGUGGGGUAGUGGCUUACCAAGGCUUUGACGGGUAGCCGGCCUGAGAGGGUGACCGGCCACAUUGGGACUGAGAUACGGCCCAGACUCCUACGGGAGGCAGCAGUGGGGAAUAUUGCACAAUGGGCGGAAGCCUGAUGCAGCAACGCCGCGUGCGGGAUGACGGCCUUCAGGUUGUAAACCGCUUUCGCCUGUGACGAAGCGUGAGUGACGGUAAUGGGUAAAGAAGCACCGGCUAACUACGUG
rnacentral:rRNA from 1 species